rnacentral:rRNA from 1 species
ACGAACGCUGGCGGCGUGCCUAAUACAUGCAAGUAGAACGCUGAAGGAGGAGCUUGCUUCUCUGAAUGAGUUGCGAACGGGUGAGUAACGCGUAGGUAACCUGCCUGGUAGCGGGGGAUAACUAUUGGAAACGAUAGCUAAUACCGCAUAAGAGUAGAUGUUGCAUGACAUUUGCUUAAAAGGUGCAAUUGCAUCACUACCAGAUGGACCUGCGUUGUAUUAGCUAGUUGGUGGGGUAACGGCUCACCAAGGCGACGAUACAUAGCAGACCUGAGAGGGUGAUCGGCCACACUGGGACUGAGACCCGGCCCAGACUCCUACGGGAGGCAGCAGUAGGGAAUCUUCGGCAAUGGACGGAAGUCUGACCGAGCAACGCCGCGUGAGUGAAGAAGGUUUUCGGAUCGUAAAGCUCUGUUGUAAGAGAAGAACGAGUGUGAGAGUGGAAAGUUCACACUGUGACGGUAUCUUACCAGAAAGGGACGGCUAACUACGUG